CAUUCACGGAGAGUUUGAUCCUGGCUCAGGACGAACGCUGGCGGCGUGCUUAACACAUGCAAGUCGAACGAUGAAGCUCUUCGGAGUGGAUUAGUGGCGAAC
rnacentral:rRNA from 1 species